rnacentral:rRNA from 1 species
GAUGAACGCUGGCGGCGUGCCUAAUACAUGCAAGUCGAGCGAACAGAUGAGGAGCUUGCUCCUCUGACGUUAGCGGCGGACGGGCGAGUAACACGUGGAUAACCUACCUAUAAGACUGGGAUAACUUCGGGAAACCGGAGCUAAUACCGGAUAAUAUAUUGAACCGCAUGGUUCAAUAGUGAAAGACGGUUUUGCUGUCACUUAUAGAUGGAUCCGCGCCGCAUUAGCUAGUUGGUAAGGUAACGGCUUACCAAGGCAACGAUGCGUAGCCGACCUGAGAGGGGGGAUCGGCAAACUUGAACCUGGGACAGGGCCCGGCCUCUUAGGGGGGGAAGAGGUGGGAAUCUUCCGCAAUGGGCGAAAGCUUGACGGAGCAACGCCGCGUGAGUGAUGAAGGUCUUCGGAUCGUAAAACUCUGUUAUUAGGGAAGAACAAAUGUGUAAGUAACUAUGCACGUCUUGACGGUACCUAAUCAGAAAGCCACGGCUAACUACGUG